AUAUCACCAUGUGAUAUUUUUGAGAGCAUCGAAAAAUCAUGAAUUUAGUUGUAAAUUCGAUGAUGCUCAGUAGAAAAUUUUUUUUCAAAAGUUGAAGGAGUUCUUUUAUAUUUCUAAAGAUGUGUCUUCAGUGGGGCAACAAUUUUUUAAGAAAAAAAAACGUGUAAGAGAGUGCUUGGGUUGAUGAGCCCAGACUAACAAAGAGUCUAAGAUUAACCUAAUCUGGUAGAGUCACUUGAUCACAACAGUCUAAGGAAGAG
rnacentral:lncRNA from 1 species